rnacentral:ncRNA from 2 species
UUAUGGCUUUAGGCCUCCGGUAUAUGGCAUAAUCUAACUAUAGCGCAGAAGGAACGGGGUGAGAAUCCCCGGCUGCCCCGCAACGGUAAUGCCGCAAGGCUUAGCCCGGUCUACUGCAACCCCCGCCGCUCC